CUACGGGGGGCACCAGUGAGGAAUAUUGCACAAUGGGGGGAACCCUGAUGCAGCAACGCCGCGUGGAGGAUGACGCAUUUCGGUGUGUAAACUCCUUUUAUAUGUCAAGAAAAUGACGGUAGCAUAUGAAUAAGCACCGGCUAACUCCGUGCCAGCAGCCGCGGUAAUACGGAGGGUGCAAGCGUUACUCGGAAUCACUGGGCGUAAAGGACGCGUAGGCGGGGUGGAAAGUCAGGUGUGAAAUCCUACAGCUUAACCGUAGAACUGCACUUGAAACUUGUAAUCUAGAGUAUGGGAGGGGGAGAUGGAAUUAGUGGUGUAGGGGUAAAAUCCGUAGAUAUCACUAGGAAUACCUAAAGCGAAGGCGAUCUCCUGGAACAUUACUGACGCUAAGGCGUGAAAGCGUGGGGAGCAAACAGGAUUAGAUACCCCCGUAGUC
rnacentral:rRNA from 1 species